rnacentral:rRNA from 1 species
UACGUAGGGUCCUAGCGUUGUCCGGAAUUCUUGGGCGUAAAGAGCUCGUAGGCGGUUUGUCGCGUCUGCUGUGAAAACUCGGGGCUUAACCCCGGGCCUGCAGUGGGUACGGGCAGACUAGAGUGCGGUAGGGGAGACUGGAAUUCCUGGUGUAGCGGUGAAAUGCGCAGAUAUCAGGAGGAACACCGGUGGCGAAGGCGGGUCUCUGGGCAGUAACUGACGCUGAGGAGCGAAAGCGUGGGGAGCGAACAGG